rnacentral:misc_RNA from 1 species
GUAAGAGACCUAAUGACGUCACCUGAAAUAAUAAGAGAGAGAUUCACAUUAUAAAUCUGCUGCGCUUCCCCAGCCAUUUUUUUGUGGCCUAACCUUUUCUAGUAGUAACAUUGAUGUGAUGGCACCAUUGUUUAUAAUCGAAAGAAAGAUUAUAAACAUGAAAAUAAGGAGGAUGAGAAAGAAAAAAAAUAAAGGAUAAAUUUGAAAAAAGUGGAAUAGAAUAAUUAAUUAAUAAAAUGUAUGUAUGAUCGUAUCUGUGAAUCAUAGGACAAGGAGUGAGUGUGUUAAAGACUAGAUUAAUCAGCCUCUACUAAAGAUGCUGAAUGUCCUUCCGUCGACUUCUGGCCCGAAGGGAGUCGCUUCUGGAGCUCCGGGUCCCUCAGGCGGAGGAAACGAAUUUAUGGACAUCCGACAGAACAGUUUAGGUGAUUAUGUUCCAGAUUUGGGGUUUGGUAUGGACAGUGAUCGCUCUUUUCGUUACAAUGAUAUGUAUUAUCCCAAUAAUGGUGGAGUAGGUCUGGACUCGACUCAUUCUGUGCCCAAUCCUAGUGCUGCAACAAAUGGAGGCGGUGUUGAGGACUACUCUGAAUUCUUUAAAGGGUCCAGCUAUAGCUGCUUCAAUUCAGAGGACUACGGAAAUCUGGGCGACUAUGUUGCAUCUACUAGCGGGAGUAGUUUAGCAGGUAACCCCCUCUCCCUUCCCCCAACUCUUCCGCCACCUCUACCCCUCCCACCAUUGCCUCUUGUAACUCACUCCUUCCCCACUACACCUCAAGGGGGUUACCAACCCAGUCCAUCAGUCCUUUACCACAUUGACGACAUGAUGAAAGGGAUUUCUAUCUCAAUGUCAUUUACAGAUGUUACUCUAGUGGCGCAAUCACAACUCAUCCAUGCUCACAAAUCCAUUCUCGCCUCACACUCAACCUUCCUGAGACAAAUUCUCAUUAAUAACGGCUUGGAUAUAGCAGAAUCAGAGGACUCUCUCAUCAUCCUCCCUAAUGUCAAAUACAUCCAUGUACAAAUGAUGGUUAGCUUUUUGUAUACUGGGCAAGUAACAAUUGCUGAACGGGAUAAUGUGUUACCUCUACGUGAGCUAUGUACCUCCUUAGGGGUAUCGAGUCUCAUUGGACGCCUUGAUGAGCUCACACUCUCAUUAAAUCAAGCGUAUGAAAAUAGUAGUAUCAUAUUGGACUCUACUCCGGAUUUAGGUCCACUAGACCCAGUCACGGGAGAUUUACCUCAUUUAUCCAAUACGGAAAUCGACUCUGUCUAUUUCAAUGGAGGCGAUCCCUCUGUUUCAUCUAUAGAACAACCACCUCCACUUCCUCAAUCCCAAGAAGCGGAGGAAGAGAAAGAACAGUCAUCUUCAUUUAAUGUUUCUUGUCCCCAGUCAACGUUAAGAACUUCCGAUGUUGACCAAUUGACUGAGAUGCAGCCUGCACCUGGGGGCGUAAGUGCUGGGACUACAUCAAAUAGUCCGAAUAACUUAAUAUCUUCUAAUUCGGAUUUGAGCUAUCCAAUUGAAGUCAUAGAAGGUCGUGUAAAGAAAAAAGCAUUUAGUUGCACCCGUUGUCAAUCCAAAUUUUAUACUCAAGAGAGUUUGCAUGUCCAUGAGAGCCUUCAUGAGGAGAGGAAGCCUUUUUCCUGUAAUGUUUGUGGCAAGUCUAUUGCUAGCAAAGGUAAUUUAGCAGUACAUUUGAGAAUCCACUCAGGGGAAAAACCCUUCACUUGCGAUAAAUGUAAUAAAUCCUUCAUGGAUGGAAGAUCACUAAAGAGACAUAUGUAUACACAUGAAAAUCGAAAAACUCAUGAGUGUGAUGUAUGUUCCAAAGUAUUUGGAGACCGAUCCACGUAUAGGAGACAUUAUAAAGAAAAACAUAUGGAAGGAAGUAAAAAGUAUACUUGUCACUUAUGUCAAAAAUUAUUUCAUAGGAAGGAAACACUGAAUGCCCAUUUUGUUAAAGUGCAUUCUCUUUCUCCUGAUGAUAUCUUUGACCGGGACAAGGCAAGAGAAAUCGAGAACUCAAAGAAGUGGAAGACUUAUAAUUGCUCGGAGUGUAAUAUGAUGUUCUCAAAGCAGUCAACUAUGGAGAUUCAUUUGAGAACGCACACCGGGGAUAAGCCAUACGUUUGUGAAGUAUGUGGUAAAAAGUUCACUCGGAGUAACAAUUUUAAACUUCACAUACGAGUCCACACUGGAGAAAAACCUUAUCAAUGUUCUCAAUGUGACAAGCGCUUCUCAGAUGUAUCUGCUCACAAACGUCAUCUACGUACCCAUACGGGCGAAAAACCAUACCAAUGUAGUAAAUGUAAAAAGGGCUUUAUUCAAAUAGGGGCCAAAAAUGUUCAUGAAAAAGGAUGUACUUUAGUAAGGAAGGAAACUCCCUCGUAUUUAGCACCAGUGACCUCAAAAAGUAAGGAAAUAUUAUGUAAUCAGCAGCACACAGUUCCUGGAACACUUUACGUUCCUCAAGAGCAACAACAAAGUUAUAAUUCCUUGAUGGAUGAUAAUUCUCUCACGAACAUUGAUAGUCAUUCGCAUCUCCAUUCUAUCAAUACCGAAUGACGGAAUAGCUUGUACAAAAGCUCAUUUUUUUAAUUUUGCACUGUUUUUCCUCAAUAGUUUAUAUAUAUCUCAUCGAGGAUGAAAUACUUCUUGUUAGGAAUAUUUUAAUAUCGUUUGAUGUAUCAAUAUGCUAUUUUGAGCUUGCAUAAAUAAUAUUGUUCUACAUAAUAUAGUGUUCCUUUCAGUUACUCUAAUAAUUAAAUGCUCUGAGAAUGAAUUGUGAAUCAACAUUUUGCUUUUACUUGAUAGAACUACGUUAUUAAGUGUACUAAUGAGUCUGAUUAGUAGUUACUAGUUAUUUAUUUUUAAUUCUUGUUUAGUUUUUUAAAUAUAUAUUAUUUACACGUAUAGAGAUGAAUAUAUUUUGAUGAUGUAUUUUUGUAGUCAAAUAAAUAAUAAUAUCAGCA